rnacentral:sRNA from 1 species
AAUCAUCGACAGGGCCUCCUCCUCCCGGCCCUGUCGUGGGAUCGGCAACCAUCCUCCUCCCAGUUGCCGAUCAGAUUCGGAAGCCCGGCGCCCCUCCCCCCGCGCCGGGCUUUCUUU